rnacentral:tRNA from 1 species
AAGGCUUUAUAGUCAAUAAUGACAUUAGACUGCAAUUCUAAAGGAGUAAAAACUUACUAAGGCUUA